rnacentral:rRNA from 1 species
GUGCCAGCAGCUGCGGUAAUACGAAGGGGGCUAGCGUUGUUCGGAAUUACUGGGCGUAAAGCGCACGUAGGCGGAUAUUUAAGUCAGGGGUGAAAUCCCGGGGCUCAACCCCGGAACUGCCUUUGAUACUGGAUAUCUCGAGUCCGGAAGAGGUGAGUGGAAUUGCGAGUGUAGAGGUGAAAUUCGUAGAUAUUCGCAGGAACACCAGUGGCGAAGGCGGCUCACUGGUCCGGUACUGACGCUGAGGUGCGAAAGCGUGGGAGCAAACAGGAUUAGAUACCCUGGUAGUCCACGCGUAAACGAUGAUAGCUAGCCGUCGGGUUGCGAUGCAAAUUCGGUGGCGCAGUUAACGCA